CCUACGGGUUGCAGCAGUGGGGAAUUUUGGACAAUGGGGGAAACCCUGAUCCAGCCAUCCCGCGUGUGCGAUGAAGGCCUUCGGGUUGUAAAGCACUUUUGGCAGGAAAGAAACGUCAUGGGUUAAUACCCCGUGAAACUGACGGUACCUGCAGAAUAAGCACCGGCUAACUACGUGCCAGCAGCCGCGGUAAUACGCAGGGUACAAGCGUUAAUCGGAAUUACUGGGCGUAAAGCGUGCGCAGGCGGUUCGGAAAGAAAGAUGUGAAAUCCCAGAGCUUAACUUUGGAACUGCAUUUUUAACUACCGGGCUAGAGUGUGUCAGAGGGAGGUGGAAUUCCGCGUGUAGUAGUGAAAUGCGUAGAUAUGCGGAGGAACACCGAUGGCGAAGGCAGCCUCCUGGGGUAACACUGACGCUCAUGCACGAAAGCGUGGGGAGCAAACAGGAUUAGAUACCCGGGUAGUC
rnacentral:rRNA from 1 species